CAAAACUUUGCUCGCUGCGGCAUCGAAGAAGUUGUCCUGUGUUUGGGUGCACGUAUGCGCUUGGACACGGAUAGCCUGCUGCUUGCUCUCAACGGGUGUUCAACAGUCUACGCGCGCUCGUAACUUGCUCAUGAGGCAAGUUGCUGUUGUGCUGGAGCUGAGAAGAGGUCUGCUGCCUGCAAUGGGUCCAUCUCUCUCAAGUUAUUGCAGUAUUAUAGCUCUCAAGGUUCAAAAAAAGUAUGGUGGAAGCUGUUGCCAAGGUUCCGACCAGAAAAGACAGCCAGUAUAAAAGGGUCCACGCCACUGAUCUCUACUACAGGGGAUGAACAGCACAUCGAGCGCCCUCGACUGAAGCCGGCCUUGUCCCGAAAGUUGGUGCUUGACA